rnacentral:rRNA from 1 species
GACGUAGGGCGCGAGCGUUGUCCGGAUUUAUUGGGCGUAAAGAGCUCGUAGGCGGCUUGUCGCGUCGUCCGUGAAAACCCACAGCUCAACUGUGGGCUUGCGGUCGAUACGGGCAGGCUAGAGUUCGGCAGGGGAGACUGGAAUUCCUGGUGUAGCGGUGAAAUGCGCAGAUAUCAGGAGGAACACCGAUGGCGAAGGCAGGUCUCUGGGCCACUACUGACGCUGAGAAGCGAAAGCAUGGGGAGCGAACAGG